UACGUAGGGGGCAAGCGUUGUCCGGAUUUAUUGGGCGUAAAGAGCGCGUAGGCGGUCCGUUAAGUGUGAAGUGAAAUCUCCAGAGCUCAACUCGGAAACUGCUUCGCAUACUGGCGGACUUGAGGAAUGCAGAGGUGAAUAGAAUUCCUGGUGUAGCGGUGAAAUGCGUAGAUAUCAGGAGGAAUACCCAUGGCGAAGGCAGUUCACUGGGCAUUAUCUGACGCUGAGGCGCGAAAGCGUGGGGAGCAAACAGG
rnacentral:rRNA from 1 species